UUAUAUGCUGAUAUUAAAGAUUAAGCCAUGCAUGUGUAAGUAUAAGUUAAAUAAGGCGAAACUGCGGAAGGCUCAUUAUAACAGUUAUAGUUUUGAUGGUUAGUAAAAAGAAGGAUAACUCUUGUUAAUUGCAGAGCUAAUACUUGAUUUUACUGUGAUCUAUAUGAUUACAGCGUAAUAAAGCAAUUUAUUACAAAGGAAUAGCUUUUUGAGAAGAAGGUUAAAUUGAGAAUUGAUGAAACUUAAAUGUUUUUACAAGUAACUGUUUUAAAUAUCUGACCUAUCAACUUGAAGGUAUGAUAGAGGCAUACCCAAGUGAUAACGGGUAACGAGAAAUAAGGGUUUGAUUUCGGAGAGGGAGCUUUAAAAAUGGCUACCACUUCUAAGGAAGGCAGCAGCGCGCAAAUUACCCACUUUUAAUUUAGAGAGGUAGUGACGAUAAUUAAUAGGAUUUGUUUUAUAACAAGUUCAAUUGUAAUGAUUAGAGUGUAAAAAAAUUUAAGAAAUCGAUUGGAGGGCAAGUCUGGUGCCAGCAGCCGC
rnacentral:rRNA from 1 species